GACAGAGGUGCCGAGCGUUAGGCGGAAUCACUGGGCUUAAAGCGUGUGUAGGCGGAUGCCUAAGUACCUUGUGAAAUCCCACGGCUCAACCGUGGAACUGCUUGGUAUACUGGGUGUCUUGAGCCACUUAGGGGCAACCGGAACAAACGGUGGAGCGGUGAAAUGCGUAGAUAUCAGGAGGAACACCGGCGGUGUAGACGGCUUUCUGGACCGUAGCUGACGCUGAGACACGAAAGCGUGGGUAGCAAACAGG
rnacentral:rRNA from 1 species